rnacentral:rRNA from 1 species
GCGGACUGAUGGGAGCUUGCUCCCUGAUGUUAGCGGCGGACGGGUGAGUAACACGUGGGCAACCUGCCUGUAAGACUGGGAUAACUCCGGGAAACCGGGGCUAAUACCGGAUAACCCGUUCCACCUCAUGGUGGAACGGUAAAAGAUGGCCUCUGGCUAUCACUUACAGAUGGGCCCGCGGCGCAUUAGCUAGUUGGUAAGGUAACGGCUUACCAAGGCGACGAUGCGUAGCCGACCUGAGAGGGUGAUCGGCCACACUGGGACUGAGACACGGCCCAGACUCCUACGGGAGGCAGCAGUAGGGAAUCUUCCGCAAUGGACGAAAGUCUGACGGAGCAACGCCGCGUGAGUGAUGAAGGUUUUCGGAUCGUAAAGCUCUGUUGUUAGGGAAGAACAAGUGCCGUUUGAAUAAGGCGGCACCUUGACGGUACCUAACCAGAAAGCCACGGCUAACUACGUGCCAGCAGCCGCGGUAAUACGUAGGUGGCAAGCGUUGUCCGGAAUUAUUGGGCGUAAAGCGCGCGCAGGCGGUCUCUUAAGUCUGAUGUGAAAGCCCACGGCUCAACCGUGGAGGGUCAUUGGAAACUGGGAGACUUGAGUACAGAAGAGGAGAGUGGAAUUCCACGUGUAGCGGUGAAAUGCGUAGAUAUGUGGAGGAACACCAGUGGCGAAGG